AAUUUCCAUGAAUUUUUUUUUUUCUCGUGUAUAAAAUCAAACUGAAGGGAAGAAAAUUAUUAUUUUGGCGUUCCGAACCAAUCCCUGUAGAUAGACUGCCAUAACAGACUACUUUUUUCUUGGGAACUUUGUUUCUUGUAGAAACAAGUGGGAAGACUUUUUUUUUCCUUCUCUCAUUUCUUUGUACUUAAAAAAAAAAAAAAAAAAAAAAAAAGCAAACCAACAACAACAAAAAGACACACACAGUAACAGCAAGUCCCAUCCACCCCCCCAACCCCCCAGAAAGCAAAGCAGACAUGUAAAUAUUUCUGGACCGUGACUGUUGUGACCCAGAGUCCUCACCAAGAUGAAGUGCUCCGGGUGGGACUGACCUCACCCGUGGACCAGGUGGCAGGAGCCUCUUGGUACCUCAGCUUGUGUCAAGCUUUCUUAUCAUGUAAAUUCUGUACAAAGAAUUGUUUUUUCCCUUUCUCUCUCUCUCUCUCUCUCUCUCUCUCUCUCUCUCUCUCUCUCUCUCUCUCUCUCUCUGUCGUUGGUGGUUUUGUUGUGGUUUUUCUCUUUUUUUUUUUCCCCUUUUUUAAUUUUCCACAGGCCCUCUGUGUUUGAGACUGUGCCCACAGGCCCUCUGUGUUUGAGACUGUGCCCACAGGCCCGUCUGAAGGUUGAGAGGAUUAUUUCGAUUGGCAAUUAAGACACAAGGGGCACCUGGUGGGCACAGCGCCCACCUACUCUUCCAUAUGCAGUUGUCUGCAUAAUUGUGC
rnacentral:lncRNA from 1 species